AAAACCCAAACCAAUUGUGGACACUGAAGGAAAAUAUGAAGAAAAAAAACCCCAAACAAAUGUGGACACUGAAGGAAAAUGUGAAGAAAAAAAACCCCAAACAAAUGUGGACACUGAAGGAAAAUGUGAAGAAAAAAAGCCCCAAACAAGUGUGGACACUGAAGGAAAAUGUGAAGAAGAAGAAAAACC